AGAGUUUGAUCAUGGCUCAGAGUGAACGCUGGCGGCGUGGAUUAGGCAUGCAAGUCGAGCGAUCUUUUUUGACGAACUCUUUGAAGCUUGUGAUGUUCGCUUCGGUGAAUGGAUCUUGCGGAUGAGGGCUAGUCGUUUAAGAGAGCGGCAAAUGGGUUAGUAAUACGCGGGUAACCUGCCCUGAAAUGAGGGAUAGUUCCGGGAAACCGGUAGUAAUACCUCGUACGCCCCGUACUUGAAAUAGUACGGGGGAAAGAUGGGGAUCGUAAGACCUGUCGUUUGAGGAAGGGCCCACGCGGUAUCAGCUAGUUGGUGAGGUAAUGGCUCACCAAGGCUUAGACGCCUAGCAGGCAUUAGUGUGUGACCUGCAACACCGGAACUGAGAUACUGUCCGGACUCCUACGGGAGGCUGCAGUCGAGAACAUUUCCCAAUGCGCGAAGGCGUGAGGAUGCGACGCCGCGUGAAGGAUGAAGGCCUUCGGGUCGUAAACUUCUUUUAUAGAGGAAGAACAACCCUAUGUUAAUACCAUGGGGUGCUGACGUUACUUUAUGAAUAAGCAACGGCUAAAUCCGUGCCAGCAGCCGCGGUAAUACGGAUGUUGCAAGCGUUACUCGGAAUUAUUGGGUGUAAAGGGUCCGCAGGCGGUUUGAUAAGUCAGANGUGAAAUCCUUCGGCUCAACCGGAGAAUUGCCCCUGAUACUGUCAGGCUGGAGGAUGUGAGAGGAGAGUGGAACUGCAUGUGUAAAGGUGAAAUUUGUGGAUAUAUGCAGGAACGCCAACAGUGAAGACAACUCUCUGGCGCAUUUCUGACGCUCAUGGACGAAAGCGUGGGUAGCAAACAGGAUUAGAUACCCAGGUAGUCCACGCUGUAACGANGAUCACUGGCUGUCUCUGCCUGUGCAGGGNCG
rnacentral:rRNA from 1 species